UACGUAGGAGACGAGCGUUGUUCGGAAUUAUUGGGCGUAAAGGGCGCGUAGGCGGUUCGUACAGUCAGACGUGAAAUUCCUGGGCUCAACCUGGGGGCUGCGUUUGAUACGUGCGGACUUGAGUGCGGAAGAGGGUCGUGGAAUUCCCAGUGUAGAGGUGAAAUUCGUAGAUAUUGGGAAGAACACCGGUGGCGAAGGCGGCGACCUGGUCCGAUACUGACGCUGAGGCGCGAAAGCGUGGGGAGCAAACAGG
rnacentral:rRNA from 1 species